GGAGGUGGCAAGCUUAUGUGUACGGGCAAACACACGAAAAGAAAAGGAAGAAAGACCCUCGUCUUUUGGAAUUUUUCUUUUACUUUAUACCCGUGGGAAGGUCUGAGGAAAGCCAGUAUGCUCUUACCGAGUAACCUGUGAAUUAACGGGUGUAAGUAACCAGAAACAUGGAUGGUAAGGUGAAGGCAUGUCCGACGAUGGGUGCUUUCUCUCGUAGAAGGGACCUUAGGAUCUGUCCUUUGCUUUAUUAUUGAAAUGCUUGCGGGUUUUAGUACUAUGCAGUGCAAUACAUAAGGCUGACACUGUCAGUAACUCGAUUCAGACUACUCUGCCCCCUCC
rnacentral:RNase_P_RNA from 1 species